GAUGAAGAACGCAGCGAAAUGCGAUAAGUAAUGCGAAUUGCAGAAUUCCAGUGAGUCAUCGAAUCUUUGAACGCACAUUGCGCCCCCUGGUAUUCCGGGGGGCAUGCCUGUCCGAGCGUCAUUGCAACCUUCAAGCGCGGCUUGUGUGUUGGGUCUCGUCCCCCGUGGACGGGCCCGAAAGGCAGUGGCGGCGUCCCGACAUGGUGCCCGAGCGUAUGGGAAUCCUCUUCCGCUCGAAUCGGCCCAUGCGGCGCUGGUCGUAACCAAAUUUUUUACCGGUUGACCUCGGAUCAGGUAGGGAUACCCGCUGAACUUAAGCAUAUCAAUAAGCGGAGGA
rnacentral:misc_RNA from 1 species